CAGUCGCCGCGGGAAUACGAAGGGGGCUAGCGUUGUCCGGAUUUACUGGGCGUAAAGCGCACGUAGGCGGACUUUUAAGUCAGGGGUGAAAUCCCGGGGCUCAACCCCGGAACUGCCUUUGAUACUGGAAGUCUUGAGUAUGGUAGAGGUGAGUGGAAUUCCGAGUGUAGAGGUGAAAUUCGUAGAUAUUCAGAGGAACACCAGUGGCGAAGGCGGCUCACUGGACCAUUACUGACGCUGAGGUGCGAAAGCGUGGGGAGCAAACAGGAUUAGAUACCCGUGUAGUCCCUGUCUCUUAUAC
rnacentral:rRNA from 1 species